GAAGUUCUUGGAGCCACUGGGACAGCAGAACCGGACAGUGUCUGCUCAGACUAAGCAACACCUCGGCGAAAUGAUCCAUCAGACUUCGAGGAGAUCCACCGCCAACUGCCUGUGAGAGCCACGCAGAUGGGCAAAAGAGACUGUCCAUCUGCUGGAUAUGAGGACUGAUGAGCGAGUGCAAUUUUCCCAAGAUCUCCUCGGCUGGAAGAGCGGAAAGCAGGAAGCCCAGAGCCUGCAUGAGCCACAUGCACUGGCUGCUCUGCACAUACAGAAAAUCCAAUCACACAUGGCUUCCUCACUUGCGGCACACUGACCUUUAUCUCAAUGCUCACUCACCUUAUGGAGACCUUUAACCAGCACAUCCUAUCGAGUAAGACAUUAUUAUUAUUUGUACCGAUGUAGUUUCCUCAACCAUCUGAAGUCACGUGUACAACCUGGCACACGGUGAGAAUGUCCUGAGUGAAGGAUCCGAGGUCGUGUCGACACUCCCUGCAGAUCCUCUUCAGAGUCGAAACACUGGACACGGACAGCUCGGGCCUCGCCAGAGCUUGGAGGACCAUGGGUAACAUGCCCCCAAGCAUCACCGGGUGGUCCACCAGCCACUCCGCCAGGGAUCCUUGGCAUCAUUAGCCGAUAAAAUACAUGACAAAAUCUGCUUAUAAUACACUGGAAAACAGUACAUCAUUCAAAAAAAGCAGUUAUUUAAAUCUGUAAAACGCUCAUUCUCAAAAAUGUAUCUGACUCUAAAAUGAAUAAAAAACACUUUAGGUACCUCUGAGUAAAGAGUAAAAGUGAAAAGGCCACACUGUUAAAAAAAA